AUCAGAUUUUUUUGAUAAGUAUUGUCUGGCUAUCACUUAUCUAAAAAUUGCAGAUUUUCAGAUAAGUUUUAUGCCCCUCAGAGAAUGAACCCUAAAUUCAAAAUAAAUUCAUCGUCAAAAGCCUAUGAAUUCUGGCGGCCUCUUUCCAACCAAAAAAACAAAAGAAGAAAGAGAAGCCUAUGAACGAGACAUGGUGCCUUCGUUCCAAAUAUUUUUCGAGCCAGGUUAAUUGAAGCAUCUCUUUCCAUAAUUAUUUGUCCAACCGACAAGAAUCUUUCUUCCGCAUAGACCGUGAAUUCUCUGGAGUCUGAUUUUCCAAUUGCGUAAUUGGGAAUUGUAUAGGCCCGUAGGGCUAUGGAGGGUGAGAUCUUCCAACGCAAUCUUAGCCGCCGGAUCCGUCUCAUCAUUUAGGAUUCGCAUAAAAGCAUGAGACGAAAGCGUUAAGACUCUGCUUCCGUUAGUCGGACCUGAAAUCGCUAUUCAAGCGAAUUGCGAAAGGGCUCCGUCUCAUUGUCUUCGAGCAAGAGAGGAAAGGCGUGGGGGAGGGAGAGGCACCCGCGGCGCGACAGAGAGAGCCACUGUGGUGACCCUGCAUCCCGAUCUCGCUCUCCGUCGAGUCCGUCGAAGCGAGAGAUUAAGAGAGGCCCGGGCAUCUCCCCGAUCUUGGAAUCCCCGGGUUAUUUCCUUCGCACAUCCAUUGCGACCUCGCCCCCUUCCAUCGGGCGCUCGGCAGCAGCUCCGCGUCGACUCUCCCGAGUCACGAAAUUUCUUCACCCGAAUCCUGUCAGGACCACGUACUUGUGGGUAGAUAUUCUUCAAUUUGUGCUUUUUGCGGUUGCCGUUGAUCUCUUCCAAUAAGAUUUUUUUUUUGGAGGAGACGUCGUUCCCUGCCCGUUGAUCACAAUCAGAAGGUCGUCGUUUCUUAGGGAACCUGCACCCGAGCGAGCCGCUUCUAGAAGCCUCAACUGGGAAAAAAAAAAAAGAAAAAGGAGAGCCUAUGCGGCAAGAGACGAAGAUCAGUUGCAUCAAGUAUAACACCGAACAACCUAUGGAUCAAAUCAUCGCAUGCAACGUACAUUAACUGUCACACGUGCAAAGAUAUUCCCCACAGAUGGAGACGGUUGGCGAUUCGCGCAACCAGCUGAUCUGCAGCCUAAAAAGGAGACCUUCUAGACGGCCUUGCUCGCAAGGAUCGGAGGAAUGCGCCCGCUUUUAAUUCGUACCAUCCUUCGCUGUCUCUGCACACGCCUUCAUUUUCACUUUGCCUUUCUUACCCCCAGCUCCUCGUUCUCGGAUCAGCCAGAUAGAAAAUCUACACCGCCAUAUUCCACGCAGCUGGACUUUAUGAUUCGUGUCUCCAAUUUUAGGACUUCCGCUUUAUUUCGGAGCUUAUCCGCCUCCGCUUCUUUCUCCGCUCCCCGUUUUAAUUCCAGCUUUCAGAUUCAUAGUAACCUUAUCUCCCCCGUGCCCACUCCGCGACCGACACGUGUUGGGACGAGCGGUGGAAGCGCCAUCUGGGGAACCUUCUGGAAAAAAAACGCCCGGGGGGGAGCUUCUCGCGCUUUCCUUCCGUUUCCUCCCUUUUUGGUUGUUUGGAUGGCUUUCGGUUCCGCGUCGCCUUCGUGGUUCCCCACUGCCCUCUGUUUCUCUCUUCUCCCAUCCUCCUCUUCCUCCCCUCUCCUCUCUUCUUCCCCUCUCCCAACUCCUGCCUUCUAAUAUAACCCUCACCGAACCUUCUAGAAUCUUCAAAUCCCGAAACUACCCCACGCCUUCCCCUCCCCUCUCCAAAAACUUCCUUCUUUAGGAAAAUAAAUUCAUCUUGAGAUCUCCGCUAUGUUCCCUUUUCCAGGAAGGUUUCAGAAAAGGAGGGUUUGGGCUUGGCUUUAGAUCUCGGAAGAGAUCGCCAGAUCGGCGUUGAGUGGCGAUGGCUCCUCCUCCUGCACAGGUGGAGGGUGAACAGCCGACGCCGGCGACGGUGGCGCCGGCGGCGGCGGACGGGCAGAGGUCGAUGCCCACGCCAUUCCUGACGAAGACGUACCAGCUGGUGGACGAUCCGACCACAGACGACGUGAUCUCGUGGAACGAGGACGGGAGCACCUUCAUCGUCUGGCGACCGGCCGAGUUCGCCCGGGAUCUUCUUCCUAAAUACUUCAAGCACAACAACUUCUCCAGCUUCGUCCGCCAGCUUAAUACCUACGGAUUUCGGAAGAUCGUGCCGGAUAGAUGGGAGUUCGCGAACGAGUGCUUUAAAAGAGGAGAGAAGCGGCUUUUGUGCGACAUUCACCGCCGGAAAAUCACUCCCGCGCCGGUCCAGGCGGCAAUCCCGAUGGCGGUCCCGGUAAACCGGGGCGGUUCGCCGGAGAACUCGGGCGACGAGCAGGUCUUCUCCUCGAACUCCUCCCCUGGAGGAGGACAGCAGCCGGCGGCGGUGGGGCGGGCCUUGCCGCUGGGGUGCAGCAGCGCGGCGGAGUUGAUGGAAGAGAACGAGCGGCUCCGGAGGGAGAACAAGCAGCUCUCGCACGAGCUCGGGCAGAUGAAGAAUCUCUGCAACAACAUCGUCCUCCUCAUGUCCAAAUACGCUUCCAGCCAGCAGCAGGGCGGCGCCACCGCCGCCGAUCGUGGCGGAGGCGGGUCAUCGCUGGAGGUGGCGACGUCGCUGGAGCCGAUGCCGGAGAGGUGGUCGCAGGAGGCGUCGGGCCCCUCCCCGAGGCUCUUCGGCGUCCCGAUCCGGCUGAAGCGCUCCCGAGGCUCCGAUGCCGAAGGGCCGCAGCAGUCAGCCCCGGAUGUGAAACCUGAGCCGUUGGAUCCGGGAGCCGAUCCGCAAGACUUGUCGUCGGACCACCGCGGAUCAUGGCUCCUUUGCUGCCCUCGUCCGAACCAGCGGGUGUGUGCGACGGAUAGCAGGAGCACGUGAUCGAAGGUCUCCAUUACGUCCUUGGCGGGCCACCUGGCUCAGAAGCCUACAGAACUUCCUAGAAUUUUCUUUCUUUCAUGUAGAAUCAUAAUCUGAAAAAAAAAAAAAAAAAAAAAACCCGAAAGUGCAUGAUAAAGUGCCGCUGCUGUCGCGCUAAUGGAAGGGUUAACGCCGUCCUUUUCGCAGCUGAUCAUUUUUUUUAUUUUAUUUUUUUAACAAUGUAGCUGUUCUUGGAUUGUCGGCGUCGCUCUCUUCCUUCCCCCAUUCCACCCUCUCUCUCUAAGAGGUGACCAAUUGUAGGUUGAUGCGCUAGGUCGUAGGCGGACCGUCUGAUCAACAGCGGUAAUGAGGACAUGUUAGUGACGUGAUGAUGGAAAAUGGGUCCAGGUGUGGGCCCAUCGUGGAACCAGGAAAAGUAAAGGCAACUCGAGAAAAAUGACUUGAGAUGGUCACGCGAACGUCUUCCACCGGUCACCUGGGGCACAAUUCAAAGGGAUCGAUGAGUGAAAUUUUUGACUUUACCUAUGCAUUUUCGAAAUAAGAAAGAAAGGUUCGGAGGGACAUGAGGCAUUUCCGGGACCAGGAUGUGAGAUAUCUGUCUUUUCUUGAUACUCCCGUUGUUGGCUUGCACGUCUAUAUUAUUAUUGGCCUCUUUU